AGUGAACGCUGGCGGUAGGCCUAACACAUGCAAGUCGAACGGCAGCACAGUAAGAGCUUGCUCUUACGGGUGGCGAGUGGCGGACGGGUGAGGAAUACAUCGGAAUCUACUUUUUCGUGGGGGAUAACGUAGGGAAACUUACGCUAAUACCGCAUACGACCUACGGGUGAAAGCAGGGGAUCUUCGGACCUUGCGCGAUUGAAUGAGCCGAUGUCGGAUUAGCUAGUUGGCGGGGUAAAGGCCCACCAAGGCGACGAUCCGUAGCUGGUCUGAGAGGAUGAUCAGCCACACUGGAACUGAGACACGGUCCAGACUCCUACGGGAGGCAGCAGUGGGGAAUAUUGGACAAUGGGCGAAAGCCUGAUCCAGCCAUACCGCGUGAGUGAAGAAGGCCUUCGGGUUGUAAAGCCCUUUUGUUGGGAAAGAAAAGCAGCAGGUUAAUACCCCGCUGUUCUGACGGUACCCAAAGAAUAAGCACCGGCUAACUUCGUG
rnacentral:rRNA from 1 species